rnacentral:rRNA from 1 species
CUACGGGAGGCAGCAGUGGGGAAUAUUGGACAAUGGGGGAAACCCUGAUCCAGCAAUGCCGCGUGUGUGAAGAAGGCCUGCGGGUUGUAAAGCAUUUUCGGUUGGGAGGACUGCUUCUAGCAUUAAUAUUGUUGGAAGUUGAUGUUACCUUCAGAAGAAGUACUGGCUAACUCCGUGCCAGCAGCCGUGGUAGAUACGGAGGGUGCAAGUGUUAAUCGGAAUUACUGGGCGUAAAGCGCGCGUAGGCGGCUAGAUCAGUCGGGUGUGAAAGCCCCGGGCUUAACCUGGGAACUGCAUCCGAUACUGUCUAGCUUGAGUACAGGAGAGGAGAGUGGAAUUCCACAUGUAGCGGUGAAAUGCGUAGAUAUGUGGAGGAACACCAAUGGCGAAGGCAGCUCUCUGGCCUGAUACUGACGCUGAGGUGCGAAAGCGUGGGGAGCAAACAGGAUUAGAUACCCGGGUAGUC